UUGACCUCGGAUCAGGUAGGAAUACCCGCAGAACUUAAGCAUAUCAAUAA
rnacentral:rRNA from 1 species